rnacentral:rRNA from 1 species
GAUGAACGCUGGCGGCGUGCCUAAUACAUGCAAGUCGAGCGAAUGGAUUAAGAGCUUGCUCUUAUGAAGUUAGCGGCGGACGGGUGAGUAACACGUGGGUAACCUGCCCAUAAGACUGGGAUAACUCCGGGAAACCGGGGCUAGUACCGGAUAACAUUUUGAACCGCAUGGUUCGAAAUUGAAAGGCGGCUUCGGCUGUCACUUAUGGAUGGACCCGCGUCGCAUUAGCUAGUUGGUGAGGUAACGGCUCACCAAGGCAACGAUGCGUAGCCGACCGGAGAGGGUGAUCGGCCACACUGGGACUGAGACGCGGCCCAGCCUCAUACGGGAGGCAGCAGUAGGGAAUCUUCCGCAAUGGACGAAAGUCUGACGGAGCAACGCCGCGUGAGUGAUGAAGGCUUUCGGGUCGUAAAACUCUGUUGUUAGGGAAGAACAAGUGCUAGUUGAAUAAGCUGGCACCUUGACGGUACCUAACCAGAAAGCCACGGCUAACUACGUGCCAGCCGCCGCGGUAA